rnacentral:rRNA from 1 species
CAGCGCCCCAAGUGGCAAUCACGUUUAUUGGGCCUAAAGCAUCCGUAGCCGGCGCUGUAAGUUUUCGGUUAAAUCUGUACGCUCAACGUACAGGCUGCCGGGAAUACUGCAGCGCUAGGGAGUGGGAGAGGUAGACGGUACUCGGUAGGAAGGGGUAAAAUCAUUUGAUCUAUUGAUGACCACCUGUGGCGAAGGCGGUCUACCAGAACACGUCCGACGGUGAGGGAUGAAAGCUGGGGGAGCAAACCGGAUUAGAUACCCGAGUAGUCC